rnacentral:rRNA from 1 species
UACGUAGGGGGCAAGCGUUGUCCGGAUUUAUUGGGCGUAAAGAGCUCGUAGGCGGUUUGUCGCGUCGGCUGUGAAAUCCCGAGGCUCAACCUCGGGCCUGCAGUCGAUACGGGCAAACUAGAGUGUGGUAGGGGAGACUGGAAUUCCUGGUGUAGCGGUGAAAUGCGCAGAUAUCAGGAGGAACACCGGCGGCGAAGGCGGGUCUCUGGGCCAUAACUGACGCUGAGGAGCGAAAGCGUGGGGAGCGAACAGG